GACGAACGCUGGCGGCGUGCUUAACACAUGCAAGUCGAGCGGUAAGGCCCUGCUUGGUACGCGAGCGGCGAACGGGUGAGUAACACGUGAGUAAUCUUCCCAUCACUUCGGGAUAACUCCGGGAAACCGGAGCUAAUACCGAAUAUGACCACUUCAUGCAGCUGCUGGGGGUGGGAAGUUCCGGCGGGGAUGGAUGGGCUCGCGGCGUAUCAGCUUGUUGGUGGGGUAGUGGCCUACCCAGGCUUCGACGGGUAGCCGGCCUGAGAGGGUGACCGGCCACACUGGGACUGAGACACGGCCCAGACUCCUACGGGAGGCAGCAGUGGGGAAUAUUGGACAAUGGGCGGAAGCCUGAUCCAGCAACGCCGCGUGAGGGAUGACGGCCUUCGGGUUGUAAACCUCUUUCAGCUGGGACGAAGCGUAAGUGACGGUAACUGGAGAAGAAGCACCGGCCAACUACGUG
rnacentral:rRNA from 1 species